GGGCCCGUAGCUCAGCCAGGUCAGAGCGUCCGGCUCAUAACCGGUUGGUCGAGGGUUCGAAUCCCUCCGGGCCCA
rnacentral:tRNA from 1 species